rnacentral:rRNA from 1 species
GUGCCAGCCGCCGCGGUAAUACGGAGGGUGCAAGCGUUACUCGGAAUCACUGGGCGUAAAGAGCGCGUAGGCGGUCCGGUAAGUCAGAUGUGAAAGCCCGGGGCUCAACCCCGGAAGUGCAUUUGAAACUGCCGGACUUGAGUAUGGGAGAGGGAAGUGGAAUUCCUGGUGUAGAGGUGAAAUUCGUAGAUAUCAGGAGGAACACCGGUGGCGAAGGCGACUUCCUGGACCAAUACUGACGCUGAGGCGCGAAGGCGUGGGGAGCAAACAGGAUUAGAUACCCUGGUAGUCCACGCAGUAAACGGUGAACACUAGGUGUAGCGGGUAUUGACCCCUGCUGUGCCGAAGCUAACGCAUUAAGUUCUCCGCCUGGGGAGUACGGCCGCAAGGCUAAAACUUAAAUGAAUUGACGGGG